rnacentral:rRNA from 1 species
CAACCUGCCGAUGACUCGGGGAUAGCCUUUCGAAAGAAAGAUUAAUACCCGAUGGCAUAGUUCUUCCGCAUGGUGGAACUAUUAAAGAAUUUCGGUCAUCGAUGGGGAUGCGUUCCAUUAGGUUGUUGGCGGGGUAACGGCCCACCAAGCCUUCGAUGGAUAGGGGUUCUGAGAGGAAGGUCCCCCACAUUGGAACUGAGACACGGUCCAAACUCCUACGGGAGGCAGCAGUGAGGAAUAUUGGUCAAUGGACGAGAGUCUGAACCAGCCAAGUAGCGUGAAGGAUGACUGCCCUAUGGGUUGUAAACUUCUUUUAUACGGGAAUAAAGUGAGGCACGUGUGCCUUUUUGUAUGUACCGUAUGAAUAAGGAUCGGCUAACUCCGUGCCAGCAGCCGCGGUAAUACGGAGGAUCCGAGCGUUAUCCGGAUUUAUUGGGUUUAAAGGGAGCGUAGGCGGACGCUUAAGUCAGUUGUGAAAGUUUGCGGCUCAACCGUAAAAUUGCAGUUGAUACUGGGUGUCUUGUGUACAGUAGAGGCAGGCGGAAUUCGUGGUGUAGCGGUGAAAUGCUUAGAUAUCACGAAGAACUCCGAUUG